AUGCAGUCGACGGUUGAGUCGCAAGACAAGACAGUGGCAGACGGGUGAGUAACGCGUAGGAAUCUACCCCCAGGUGGAGCAUAGCCGGCCGAAAGGUCGGGUAAUUCUCCAUAGUUCCCGCAAGGGUAAAGGACUUAACGGUCCGCCAGGGGAGGAGCCUGCGUCCCAUCAGCUAGUUGGUAGGGCAAUGGCCUACCAAGGCGAUGACGGGUAGCUGGACUGAGAGGUCGAUCAGCCACAACUGCACUGAGACACGGGCAGUACAUCUACGGAUGGCAGCAACCAGGAAUAUUGCGCAAUGGACGAAAGUCUGACGCAGCGACGCCGCGUGGGGGAAGAAGGCCUUCGGGUUGUAAACUCCUUUUGCCAAGCCGUUCACAGCUUGGCGAAUAAGCCUCUACUAACUACGUGCCAGAAGUCUCGGUAAUACGUAGGAGGCAAGCAUUAUCCGGAUUUAUUGGGCGUAAAGUGUGCGUAGGCGUUCCAUAAAGUCUUCGCUUAAAGACCAAGGCUUACCCUUGGGAAUGGUGAGGAUACUCAUGGAAUUGAGGAUUGGUGGGGAUGCUGGAACAGUUAGUGUAGCAGUGAAAUGCGUUGAUAUUAACUGGAACACCAAGGGCGAAGGCAAGCAUCUGCACUUUUUCCCCGUAAGGGGACUUAGCCUGACGCUGAGGCACGAAAGCUAGGGUAGCGAAACAGAUUAGAUACCUGUGUAGUCCUAGCCGUAAACGAUGUCCGCUAACUGUUGCCCGCAAGAGCAGCGGGUUCAAGCUAACGCAUUAAGCGGACCGCCUGGGGGAGUACGGCCGCAAGGCUAAAACUCAGAGGGAAUUGACGGGGACCCGCACAACUGGUGGAGCGUGUGGUUUUAAUUCGAGACAAAGCGAAAAACCUUACCAGGCUUGGACAUACUACCGUUUAUUCUCUUGGGAAACAAGGGAAAUCCGCAAGGAUGGUAAUCACACGUGCCUGCAAUGCUUGUCGUCAGCCUCGUGCCCGUGAGGUGUUU
rnacentral:rRNA from 1 species